rnacentral:rRNA from 1 species
GUGCCAGCCGCCGCGGUAAUACGGAGGGUGCAAGCGUUGUUCGGAAUUACUGGGCGUAAAGAGCGUGUAGGCGGUUGAUUAAGUCAGGCGUGAAAGUCCUUGGCUCAACCAAGGAAGUGCACCUGAAACUGGUCAACUUGAGUACGGGAGAGGAGAGUGGAAUUCCUGGUGUAGAGGUGAAAUUCGUAGAUAUCAGGAGGAACACCGGUGGCGAAGGCGACUCUCUGGACCGAUACUGACGCUGAGACGC